rnacentral:rRNA from 1 species
AGUGAGCGCUGGCGGUAGGCCUAACACAUGCAAGUCGAACGGCAGCACAGUAAGAGCUUGCUCUUACGGGUGGCGAGUGGCGGACGGGUGAGGAAUACAUCGGAAUCUACUUUUUCGUGGGGGAUAACGUAGGGAAACUUACGCUAAUACCGCAUACGACCUACGGGUGAAAGCAGGGGAUCUUCGGACCUUGCGCGAUUGAAUGAGCCGAUGUCGGAUUAGCUAGUUGGCGGGGUAAAGGCCCACCAAGGCGACGAUCCGUAGCUGGUCUGAGAGGAUGAUCAGCCACACUGGAACUGAGACACGGUCCAGACUCCUACGGGAGGCAGCAGUGGGGAAUAUUGGACAAUGGGCGCAAGCCUGAUCCAGCCGUACCGCGUGGGUGAAGAAGGCCUUCGGGUUGUAAAGCCCUUUUGUUGGGAAAGAAAAGCAGCAGGUUAAUACCCCGCUGUUCUGACGGUACCCAAAGAAUAAGCACCGGCUAACUUCGUG